CACUUUGCGUCCGCCAGACCCCGGUCUAGAGUUCCGGCAUAUUUUAACGUUUGCCGGACUUUGAUUUUCGAGGCCGCCUUGCGCAUGCGACGCUUGCUUCUCGUAUGGACUUUCCUGACAGCCGCGCUGACACCGGCGCUUGCCGAGAAGCGCGUCGCACUGGUGAUCGGCAAUUCCGACUAUCAGAACGUCGCGCCGCUCACGAAUCCCUCCAACGACGCCGCCGCCAUCGCGGCCAUCCUGACGAAAGCCGGUUUCGAUACCGUCGAUGCAAAAUCGAAUCUGUCGGGCAUCGAAAUGAAG
rnacentral:misc_RNA from 1 species